rnacentral:misc_RNA from 1 species
GAUGAAGAACGUAGCGAAAUGCGAUAAGUAAUGUGAAUUGCAGAAUUCAGUGAAUCAUCGAAUCUUUGAACGCACAUUGCGCCCUUUGGUAUUCCACAGGGCACACCCGUUCGAGCGUCAUUACAACACUCAGGCCCUGCCUGGUAUUGGGUGCCGCCCUUUCGAGGGCGCCCCUCAAACUCAUCGGCGUCGCCGACCGUCCUCGAGCGCAGCGAGAAUACGAUUUUCAGCGUCAUCGAGGGGGUCCCGCGGCCGCCGGAAGACAAAUUCACUCUUCACGUUUGACCUCGGAUCGGGUGGGGAUACCCGCUGAACUUAAGCAUAUCAAUAAGCGGAGGA